GAUGAACGCUGGCGGCGUGCUUAACACAUGCAAGUCGAACGAUGAAGCCCAGCUUGCUGGGUGGAUUAGUUGCCAACGGGUGAGUAACACGUGAGUACCCUGCCCUCUACUCUGGGAUAAGCCUGGGCAACUGGGUCUAAUACCUAAUACGACCUUCGCCCUCAUGGGUUGAGGGUGGAAAGCUUUUGUGUUUUUGGAUGGACUCGGGGCCUAUCAGCUUGUUGGUUUGGUAAGGGCUCGCCAAGGCGAGGCCGGGUACCCUGCCUGAGAGGGUGACCGGCCACAAUGGGACUGAGACACGGCGCAGACUGGUACGGGAGGCAGCAGUCGGGAAUCUUGCACAAUGGGAGAAAGCCUGAUGCAGAGACGCCGCGGGUGGGAUGACGGCCUGUGGGUUAUGAACCUCUGUCAGUAGGGAAGAAGCGAGACUGACGGUACCUAAAGAAGAAGCGCCGGCUAACUACGUG
rnacentral:rRNA from 1 species